rnacentral:lncRNA from 1 species
GGGGCGUGACACAUACAACUAGCUAAGUAACAGUGUCUGCCAAUCUAAGUAGUUUAGAUCUAGGUAUCAUCUUGCCAAAAUCAAGAAAUCAGCUAUCUAAUCAAGAUGAAAGCAACAUAUGAGGGGUUAUUGAUGAUAAGUCUAUGGAUUACUAAUGGAAAUUGAGGUGGAGGCUAGCAUGACGGAUGGGUGGAGCAAUGUCAAUCUAGUACCCUCUACUAAGGUUAACUUAGGGUCCAUAAAGUAAAAGUGUCAAACC